rnacentral:rRNA from 1 species
AUGCCGGCUCGCCUACUCGGCGGUGUUGGGCCUACUCAAGCAGUCGAGGAUCUCCGUCCUGGUGCGCACGAUGCGGUGGAACAUCUCGCGCACCUGCCGCUCGAGCGGGUCGAGCCCUUCCUUGAGUGCCUCGCACACCUGCACCAGCUCCUGCGCGGCCUCCCGCACCUCGGCGUCCUUCUCCUUGUCCAGGGGGAAUUGUGCGGCGUCGGUGAUCUCCAUGAGCUGCCGCGACCAACGCUCGAUGAGGUGUAUCUCCUUGAGCAGCCCGCACGAGUGCUUGCGGUCCUUCUUCUUGGACUCCUCGAGGACGCGCUCGUAGAGCGUGGUGACCGGGCCGGCCCAGGGGAAGCUCCUGGGCACGGCGAAGUGCGCCUGGAGGCCGCGGUCCUGGCAGGGGAUGGCGGCGACGAGCGCCCAGGCGGUGACGAAGAGCACGGAGCCCAUGGUGUACACGGCGGAGGCGAGGCCGCCCGUGGCGGCGACGUCGUUGGCGCGGGGCACCGGCAGGUUGCCCCCGAUGGCCUGCAGCUGGCGGGACGCGGACCAGGUGCGGGACACGCUCCAGGACAGCGACCUGAAGUGGGAGCCGCCGGAGCCGGAGCCGGAGCCGCUGCUGCUGCGGCGGUGGUGCCCCCGGCUCUGGCCCCCGGCGGCGUCCUUGCCGCCGUUACCCGUCCGGCCGAAGGAGCGGUUCCGCUGCCCCCCGCCGCCGGCGUCCUUGUCGUCGAGCAUGAGGAUGGUGAGGUCGGUGAGCGCCUUGCGGGCGCGGCGGAUCUGGCCCUCCCCGAGCGGCGCGGCGGGGUCGGACGCGGCGCCCUGCGGGGCGAGCGCGGCGGCGGCGAUGGCGAGGUGCUUGCGCCACUGGCGGAGCAGGUCGAGGCCGUCGCGGAGCGCGUUGCAGAGGUCGAGCGCCUUGACGGCGCGGUCGAAGAAGUCGGCGACGAGGCGGUCGAGCGGGGGGCGCGCGAGGGCCCCGGGGCCGCCGCCGAGGAGCGCGGAGCGGAACUCCUCGAGGCAGAUGAGGAAGGAGUCGAGCAGGUGCUGGGUCCACGCUAUCGACAGGAUCUCCGGCGGGGCGUUCUUGGCGUCGGCGGGGGCGGCGUCGGGGGAGCAGGGGAGCAGGUCGAGAAGCAGCUCGGCGGCGUGGCGCUGAAAGGCGUCGACUUCGCGGUCGGCGGGGGAGGAGGAGGGGUUGGCGGUGUUGGCGUGGUCGGGCGUGGGCGGGGCGGAGUGGAUCUGGCCGUGCUCGCGGUGGCGGAGCGAGAGGAUGUGGCGGCCGAAGGAGGUGUGGUGGUGGUGGUGCGCCGGCGAGGCGGAGGAGUCGGUGGCCGGCAUUGCGGGCGAGCGCGCUAG